UGGGGGGGGGGGGCCUAUACAUGCAAGUCGAACGAGUUCUGAUUAUUGAAAGGUGCUUGCAUCUUGAUUUAAUUUUGAACGAGUGGCGGACGGGUGAGUAACACGUGGGUAACCUGCCCUUAAGUGGGGGAUAACAUUUGGAAACAGAUGCUAAUACCGCAUAAAUCCAAGAACCGCAUGGUUCUUGGCUGAAAGAUGGCGUAAGCUAUCGCUUUUGGAUGGACCCGCGGCGUAUUAGCUAGUUGGUGAGGUAACGGCUCACCAAGGCAAUGAUACGUAGCCGAACUGAGAGGUUGAUCGGCCACAUUGGGACUGAGACACGGCCCAAACUCCUACGGGAGGCAGCAGUAGGGAAUCUUCCACAAUGGACGCAAGUCUGAUGGAGCAACGCCGCGUGAGUGAAGAAGGCUUUCGGGUCGUAAAACUCUGUUGUUGGAGAAGAAUGGUCGGCAGAGUAACUGUUGUCGGCGUGACGGUAUCCAACCAGAAAGCCACGGCUAACUACGUGCCAGCAGCCGCGGUAAUACGUAGGUGGCAAGCGUUAUCCGGAUUUAUUGGGCGUAAAGCGAGCGCAGGCGGUUUUUUAAGUCUGAUGUGAAAGCCCUCGGCUUAACCGAGGAAGUGCAUCGGAAACUGGGAAACUUGAGUGCAGAAGAGGACAGUGGAACUCCAUGUGUAGCGGUGAAAUGCGUAGAUAUAUGGAAGAACACCAGUGGCGAAGGCGGCUGUCUGGUCUGUAACUGACGCUGAGGCUCGAAAGCAUGGGUAGCGAACAGGAUUAGAUACCCUGGUAGUCCAUGCCGUAAACGAUGAAUGCUAGGUGUUGGAGGGUUUCCGCCCUUCAGUGCCGCAGCUAACGCAUUAAGCAUUCCGCCUGGGGAGUACGACCGCAAGGUUGAAACUCAAAGGAAUUGACGGGGGCCCGCACAAGCGGUGGAGCAUGUGGUUUAAUUCGAAGCAACGCGAAGAACCUUACCAGGUCUUGACAUCUUUUGAUCACCUGAGAGAUCAGGUUUCCCCUUCGGGGGCAAAAUGACAGGUGGUGCAUGGUUGUCGUCAGCUCGUGUCGUGAGAUGUUGGGUUAAGUCCCGCAACGAGCGCAACCCUUAUGACUAGUUGCCAGCAUUUAGUUGGGCACUCUAGUAAGACUGCCGGUGACAAACCGGAGGAAGGUGGGGAUGACGUCAAAUCAUCAUGCCCCUUAUGACCUGGGCUACACACGUGCUACAAUGGAUGGUACAACGAGUUGCGAGACCGCGAGGUCAAGCUAAUCUCUUAAAGCCAUUCUCAGUUCGGACUGUAGGCUGCAACUCGCCUACACGAAGUCGGAAUCGCUAGUAAUCGCGGAUCAGCACGCCGCGGUGAAUACGUUCCCGGGCCUUGUACACACCGCCCGUCACACCAUGAGAGUUUGUAACACCCGAAGCCGGUGGCGUAACCCUUUUAGGGAGCGAGCCGUCUAAAGGGGGACAAAAAUGG
rnacentral:rRNA from 1 species